rnacentral:rRNA from 1 species
UACAGAGGUCCCAAGCGUUGUUCGGAUUUACUGGGCGUAAAGGGUGCGUAGGCGGCCAGGUAAGUCUGGUGUGAAAGCUCGGAGCUUAACUCCGAAAAGUCAUUGAAUACUAUCUGGCUGGAGGGUCGGAGGGGAGACUGGAAUUCUCGGUGUAGCAGUGAAAUGCGUAGAUAUCGAGAGGAACACCAGUGGCGAAGGCGAGUCUCUGGACGACUCCUGACACUGAGGCACGAAAGCUAGGGGAGCAAACAGG